GAUGAACGCUGGCGGCGAGCUCAGACCCGCAAGGCCAAGCAAGGGAGGAGGACGUUUCUUUUUGGAUGAUAGGGGGGGGCGGGGUGGUAACCCGGUGGGAAUCCACCUACUAAACUCGGGUAAUCUGCGGGAACCGGGGUCAAGAACGGGCAAAAUUUUGGAACGACUGGGUUUAACGGAGAAGUCGGUCGUGCCCUGACUUGAAGGCGGAUCCGCGAUCUAUUAGCUCGGUGGUAAGGUAACGGCUUACCCAAGCAACGAACCAUAGCCGACCUGAGAGGGUGAUCGGCCACACUGGAACUGAGACACGGUCCAGACUCCUACGGGAGGCAGCAGUAGGGAAUCUUCCGCAAUGGGCGAAAGCCUGACGGAGCACCGCCGCGUGAGUGAUGAAGGUCUUCGGAUCGUAAAACUCUGUUAUUGGGGAAGAACAUAUGUGUAAGUAACUGUGCACAUCUUGACGGUACCUAAUCAGAGAGCCGCGGCUAACUACGUG
rnacentral:rRNA from 1 species